rnacentral:rRNA from 1 species
AUUGAACGCUGGCGGCAUGCCUUACACAUGCAAGUCGAACGGUAACAGGUCUUCGGAUGCUGACGAGUGGCGAACGGGUGAGUAAUACAUCGGAAUGUGCCUAGUAGUGGGGGAUAACUACUCGAAAGAGUGGCUAAUACCGCAUGAGAUCUACGGAUGAAAGCAGGGGAUCGCAAGACCUUGUGCUACUAGAGCGGCCGAUGGCAGAUUAGGUAGUUGGUGGGAUAAAAGCUUACCAAGCCGACGAUCUGUAGCUGGUCUGAGAGGACGAUCAGCCACACUGGGACUGAGACACGGCCCAGACUCCUACGGGAGGCAGCAGUGGGGAAUUUUGGACAGUGGGCGCAAGCCUGAUCCAGCAAUGCCGCGUGCAGGAUGAAGGCCUUCGGGUUGUAAACUGCUUUUGUACGGAACGAAAAGCCCUGGGUUAAUACCCUGGGGUCAUGACGGUACCGCAAGAAUAAGCACCGGCUAACUACGUGCCAGCAGCCGCCGUAACAC